GUGGAGGGUGGGUGGAUGCGGGGGGGUGAAAAAAACCAAAUCUGUCCUAACUCACCGGGAAAGUCCAUGGCGGUGUCCGCAUUGCUCGCACCAUCCGCCCGCCUCGGCCGGUUAAUUGGAAACGAGGCUCUUUUGAGGAUCCGCGACACUUAUCCGUCGGCCAAUUUACAGAGAACUUUCAACGACCCCGUCUGCUGCUGUCGCCGCCAGACUAUAACACUCGGUGGAGCAAGGAAAUGUCUGGCCAACGAGCAGAAACAGUCUACAUACGUCCGCGCGAGUCCCAGAGUAUGAAAACAAGAUGGUCGUGGAUGAAAAUGGUGGUUAGCCUCUCUAGCUUUAGCUAUUCUGAUAACAGCUAGUCUUAAAACAUUCAUACCAGAAGGACCAGGGGACAGGCGCUGAGGAGUGAGGGCAUCGGCGCAAAGUGAAGCGCCAUCUUUGUCGCCAAAAUAUUAUGUCCAAUAAUGCGUGGACAACAAUUGCGUGCUAACAAGAACUUUAUUUUCGGCAAGUCUGUCCCCAUAUGCAAUAAAAGUGAAAGUGAAUAGAAACGAUGAAACAUAUCAAUCAUUUCGACCAUAAUCCUGAGUAUAGACAAAAGCCAAGCUAGAUUUGCAGGCUCUGCGAUGCUCAAUUAGAGAUGCCAGUUCCGUGGUAUUUUGAAGACCAGUAUCCUCAAGGAGAACCUGCACAUAGGUUUUGUGCCUGGUACCUGAUGAUCCAUUCUUGGGUGCCCAGAGUAGAAAUCUGUUUGCUGCUUCAUCUUGGUGGCGAUAAAAAUGGCCAGCAGCCCUAAAUCUGCGUUCUCUCACUUUUGAAGUGAUUUUGGGAAUAUCUCUGUGCAGUUCCUUGUUGGGGUACCUUGUCUUUCCAGCUAAUAUUCAGGGCAGCUCUCAGUAAUCUGGUGUAACACCCAUCCAGACGUCAAGUACUGGCUCGACCAAUGUUUGAAAGAUGUGGCUCUUCAUUUGUCUCGGGAGUUCAUCUUUUCAGAUCUUUGUAGCUUAUUGAUAGCUUUCCAGGCUCGCCAUUUUUACGUUAAUCCUUUGCCUGUUGCAGUUCCUCUUCAUCAAAGCUAUCGGUUGGAAUCUGAAGCGCAGAGAACACUUGUUCUGCUUCUUCAUCCUCAUCAGUAACUACAGGGGGUUUCCCCCAGAGAUUUUGAAAGGUUUGAUACCAGUUGUCAAGUCUCUCUUGUUGCAAUCGACCAUUAACCUUUCUUUUGUUUUGCUUUCAUUCCUGCCUGUAAUGUUGAUGGUUUUCCAUGUUGAUGAGAUGUUCUUUCCUUUGUUCUCCUUUUUGACGGCAGCAAUUUGUCUCCGAAGGAAGUCUUAGUUAGUGUCAACAUAUGCUUUGUCUAGGUUUUCCUUAGCUGAUUGAAGUUUCUCCCUUGUUAGUUGGGUGUUGAUUACGGGUGUCGUUCUCUUCAGAAGCCCUCUCUAAAUCACCUCUUUCAUCUGAAGCCCUCUGAUCCUCACUUGCAAGAAGCUUUCCGUCUCUGAAACAUAGAAAUGCUUACAUUUAUUUACCUUGGCUACGACAUCUCUUCUUACAACUCUCUUGCACAAGCGCGGCUCAGUGAAGAGAAGUAUGCGCAAGGAUCCCACUGUGCGAAAAAUUGUCACCGUUCCACGACAGUCCGAAUACUACAUGAUCGACUUCGCACAUGCCAUAUAGUCCUUUGUUUGUAUUUAUUCGAUAAAAUACGCUCUUCUUAAAACAAUAUAAUGUUACUGCAAUUUGUUCGAUAUUUUUCGAUAUUUUUAGAUCCACCAGCUGAAAUUGAUCCUGUAAGUUGAGUGUUCCGAAUCAUCCUUGGCAUCCAUAUGCAAUGCACAAAUUGGAUAAGCUGUGCUUCCUAGAAGUUUGUCAAAUGUCACACGUUUUCUUUUCUCAAGUUCUCAUAUAACACACAAACUGUGACCAGUAUUCUUCCCAUCUCCCGCCUGACCAUUGGCAAACUAUGGCCGAGAUUCAAUUCCUGUGUACACAUAAUGAGAGCUCUAUUGAACGUCGAUGGACCCGGGCGCCAAAUAACAAACAAAACACUAUUUGAUAACCCGGGCCCAAGCAUUUAUCUCCAAGCCGCAGCAAACAUGGCAAUGAUUUACUCGCAUCCUUCGAAUGACCAAUCCAAAGCAGCAAUAUGCCCCAAAAUAACAAUAAAAACUCACUUGUAAUUAUUACUACAUGCAUUUCUGCUUGAUAUGUUGUAUAUCAACUAUGAAUGCAUCAAGUGGAGUUCAACAAAUGUCCAUUCAAAGUCAUUAAUGCUCCUACAAUGUUAAAUAUACUUGGAAGAGUAGGUAGUAGGUAGCUUUUUGUAAAUUACAUAGCUUCUUUGCAUGUCUGCUGAGAUUAUUCUGUCAGUCAAGUUUACACAACAUGCAAUAAAGUCGAAUGGCUAAGUAGCACCUCAGAUUGAUUUUAAGGAUUUCAUUCUUUCUGAGAGCGUCGAGUUGAAAGAGUUUGAAUGACCGGCUGUCCUAUCGCUACCUUAACAUCACAUCAUUUGCUAGUGUGUGUGUGUGUCUGCAGGGAGACUUUCAAAAUUAAAGUGGUCUUAACGUCGUACCAUGAGGAACUCCCACUUGGUCGGGGACGUUAUAUCGCUCGAGACUUGAUACAAGCAGAUGCAAUGCAGUGCAUAAAACCCAUGGUUAUCUUGUAUGUAACGCUAUUUUUUGAAACACUUCUUCUUUUGUAAUAGAAAAGUGUACGUUUAAUGCUGUCAUUUUUUGGGACGCAAUGAAGCAGGAGGUUCAUGAGUGAGUUUUUCAUGCACAAAUCCAUGCCUGGUGAUGAUCUAAGGUGUUGCGGGGCCUCCCCACUGGCCUCGAGGUGCACUUCUUCCCCCUGCUGGAACUCUAGAGAACUGCCUGGAGAACCGCAAUCACCUGCUCAGGUUGGUGCACGUCAGAAGCGGAGGAGGCGAGCUGGAGACGGUCGCCGUGGAAGAGCUCCAUCAGCACUUUGAGAAACGCAGGUGUCCUGCCAUGAUGGGCGGGGACGGGGACAACUCGUCGAAGGG